UACGGAGGAUCCGAGCGUUAUCCGGAUUUAUUGGGUUUAAAGGGUGCGUAGGUGGAUUGGUAAGUCAGUGGUGAAAGUUUGCAGCUUAACUGUAAAAUUGCCGUUGAAACUGCCGGUCUUGAGUGCAAAUGAGGUAGGCGGAAUGCGUCGUGUAGCGGUGAGAUGCUUAGAUAUGACGCAGAACUCCGAUUGCGAAGGCAGCUUACUGGGAUGCAACUGACGCUGAGGCACGAAAGCGUGGGUAUCAAACAGGAUUAGA
rnacentral:rRNA from 1 species